AUAUUUGUACUUCAGUACUAUCAGUCCCUAUUGCAUUAUAUUAGUAGUUCAGUAGUGUCUGACUCUAUUGUAUUAUACUCGUACUUCAGUACUAUCAGUCCCUAUUCUGCCCUGCAAAGGCAAAACUCAGUAACAACGAAACUGGUCAAAGAUCUUUGAUCUGUUGUAAUGGCCAAGUAUAUUACCUGAUUAACGUGGUAUUUAGUUUCCUGACACAAUAACAAUAAUAAAACAGUUGACAGAAAUUGCUAUCUGUCUAUACAGAAAAAUACUUUUAAGUCAGAUUUUGAAGAUUUGCCAUUGUUUGGUAUUAUUGUAUUAUACUAACUAGCACUUCAGUAUUCAGGGUGGGACUGAGAGUGCUCUGUCUGUUAAGGUGCCUGCCCACUCUUGUGUGAUGGAGGUUUUUGUAUGGCGACUUAACCAUUAUGAAUCGUUGUGGUGGACUUUUGGAAGCGGAACAAAACUAGUGCUGAAAACUGGUCCCUCUAUCAGACCCACAGUGUCUCUGCUCCCCCCGUCCUCUGAGCAGCUCUUCGGGGGCUCGGCCACACUGGCCUGCCUGCUGAGUGGCUACUCCCCCCAGGGGGCGAUGGUGAGCUGGGAGGUGGAUGGGGAGGAGGUGAAGGAUGGGGUCCUGACCUCCACAGAAGAAGAGAAGGGCGGCCACUACAGCCGCAGCAGCACCCUGACCCUGAGCAAGGCACGCUGGGAAGAGGGAGAGGUGUACACCUGCAGGGUCGCCCAUGAAGACACCAGUGAUUCGGCCGCCUUCCGGAAAAGUCACUGUAGUGUCUAGGGACCGGAGAAGCCAUUGUAGGAGGCUAGAGAGUCCACACAUAUUUGUGUUUUAGAGCUGAAUGUUACAGUAUAGUAGUGAAUCAUUUCAGGAGUGAUGUGUGCCAAAAUGAAGUAUUUUGUGAUUAAGUUGUAAAUGUAAUCUUGCUUCUGAGUUCAAAUAAAGCUUGUUUUAAUUGAAAUAUAA